rnacentral:rRNA from 1 species
UACGUAGGGAGCAAGCGUUGUCCGGAAUCAUUGGGCGUAAAGCGCGCGUAGGCGGCCCUGUAAGUCCGUUGUGAAAGUCAAAGGCUCAACCUUUGAAAGCCGAUGGAUACUGUAGGGCUAGAGUCCGGAAGAGGCGAGUGGAAUUCCUGGUGUAGCGAUGGAAUGCGCAGAUAUCAGGAGGAACACCAAUAGCGAAGGCAGCUCGCUGGGACGGUACUGACGCUAAGGCGCGAAAGCGUGGGGAGCGAACAGG